GCGGGUUUAGCUCAGUUGGGAGAGCGUCAGACUGAAGUCCACUUCGGUUGUCACGAUCGAGGUCGUGAACAGUUAUAUCUGAAGGCCGUGUGUUCGAUCCACACAAACCGCA